rnacentral:lncRNA from 1 species
GAAACACCUUUCGCUGAUGAAGGAGGAAUAUGAAACAGCAGUUGCCGAGGUGAAGAGGAAGAGGAGUAUUUGCCAGGAAAACUAGGAUGGACCCUUCCCGGUAUACAUACAGGGAGGAUGUAAAAGUCAAAAACUUCGGUCAAAAUUAAGGCCAACACCAAGAAAGAAAAACCAGUCCUCUCAGACAUCACGACAUUGCCCCAGAGAGGAACCCAGGAUUCUCACACCAUGACACCAUCCUCAUCUGUUUCUCCAGCCACAUUUGGACAUGGAUCUGGCAG